AAAAAUAUAGAGAGCUGUGAAGUUUUCAUAGACUAUACAAGUCUUCUAUAAAUGGAGCUCAUUAGCUCAUUUAUAGAAUACACCAAUUCACAGAGAAAAAAAAAUAUAGAGAGCUGUGAGGUUUUCAUAGACUAUACAAGAAAAUAGUCUGUGAAGAAAAAUAGAGUGUGAGCGAUAUUUUAGUAAGGUGAAAAUCAAAAGAGUGUUAUUCCUUUUGAGUGUGUAGUAGUCACUUUGAGUAUUGUAUUCGUGACUACACGAUGUAAAAUUCCUUACUAUAGUGAUAUCAGUUGCUCCUCUUGGCCCGUGAUUUUUCCCUUAUUAAAAAGGGUUUCCACGUAAAA
rnacentral:lncRNA from 1 species